ACUUUUAAAGGACAAUAGUCCUCCACUGGUCAUAGGAUAGAGUACUAC
rnacentral:tRNA from 1 species